CCUAAGGCCGGCGGAAGAAGCAUUGUCAAGGAACUCGGCAAAAUGGCCCCGUAACUUAGGGAUAAGGGGUGCCUGGGAAACCAGGCCGCAGAGAAUAGGCUCAAGCAACUGUUUAGCAAAAACACAGGUCUAUGCGAAACCGAAAGGUGAGGUAUAUGCUGACGCCUGCCCGGUGCUGGAAGGUUAAGAGGAGAGGUUAGCGGUAACGCGAAGCUUUGAAUUUAAGCCCCAGUAAACGGCGGCCGUAACUAUAACGGUCCUAAGGUAGCGAAAUUCCUUGUCGGGUAAGUUCCGACCCGCACGAAAGGCGUAAUGAUUUGAGCGCUGUCUCGACAAUGCAUCCGGUGAAAUUGAAGUACCAGUGAAGAUGCUGGUUACCUGCGCCAGGACGGAAAGACCCCAUGGAGCUUUACUCCAGUCUGGUACUGGGACUCGGUAUUGCAUGUACAGGAUAGGUGGGAGGCUAGGAGAUGGUAACGCCAGUUGCCAUGGAGCCGCUGUUGGGAUACCACC
rnacentral:rRNA from 1 species